rnacentral:rRNA from 1 species
AUUGAACGCUGGCGGCAGGCCUAACACAUGCAAGUCGAGGGACCGGCGCACGGGUGAGUAACACGUAUCCAACCUGCCCUUUACUCGGGGAUAGCCUUUCGAAAGAAAGAUUAAUACCCGAUAUAAAGGAUGGGGAUUCGUUUCAUUUGGUUGUUGGUGAGGUAACGGCCCACCAAGCCUUCGAUGGACAGGGGUUCUGUGAGGAAGGUCCCCCGCAUUGGAACUGGGACACGGUCCAAACUCCUACGGGAGGCAGCAGUUAGGAAUAUUGGUCAAUGGGCGUUAGCCUGAACCAGCCAAGUAGCGUGAAGGAUGAAGGCUUAUGGGUCGUAAACUUCUUUUAUAUAAGAAUAUGUAUUAUAUGAAUAAGGAUCGGCUAACUCCGUGCCAGCAGCCGCGGUAAUAC